rnacentral:lncRNA from 1 species
AUGCUUGUGCCUCUCAAGACUGAUGUUUAUGAGAUGGAUGUUUGGUUUUGGGAGUGUAGGAUCUUCUUAGAUCCAUGGUUUGACCAUAUGAGUUUGAUGCAGCUUUGGCUUCUUCCGGAUUCUCGUCCAUUGGUCUCUGCGGGUGUCUUCACAAACUCUUGUUCUAGUGGUUGUCAUGGUGGUGCUCAUCUUGGCGGCAUCUUCAGCAACGGUAACGACGAUGACUCAUAG